GACGAACGCUGGCGGCGUGCUUAACACAUGCAAGUCGAACGAAGAGCGAUGGAAGCUUGCUUCUAUCAAUCUUAGUGGCGAACGGGUGAGUAACGCGUAAUCAACCUGCCCUUCAGAGGGGGACAAUAGUUGGAAACGACUGCUAAUACCGCAUACGAUCCAAUCUCGGCAUCGAGGAUGGAUGAAAGGUGGCCUCUAUUUAUAAGCUAUCACUGAAGGAGGGGAUUGCGUCUGAUUAGCUAGUUGGAGGGGUAACGGCCCACCAAGGCGAUGAUCAGUAGCCGGUCUGAGAGGAUGAACGGCCACAUUGGGACUGAGACACGGCCCAGACUCCUACGGGAGGCAGCAGUGGGGAAUCUUCCGCAAUGGACGAAAGUCUGACGGAGCAACGCCGCGUGAGUGAUGACGGCCUUCGGGUUGUAAAGCUCUGUUAAUCGGGACGAAAGGCCUUCUUGCGAAUAGUUAGAAGGAUUGACGGUACCGGAAUAGAAAGCCACGGCUAACUACGUGCCAGCAGCCGCGGUAAUACGUAGGUGGCAAGCGUUGUCCGGAAUUAUUGGGCGUAAAGCGCGCGCAGGCGGAUUGGUCAGUCUGUCUUAAAAGUUCGGGGCUUAACCCCGUGAUGGGAUGGAAACUGCCAAUCUAGAGUAUCGGAGAGGAAAGUGGAAUUCCUAGUGUAGCGGUGAAAUGCGUAGAUAUUAGGAAGAACACCAGUGGCGAAGGCGACUUUCUGGACGAAAACUGACGCUGAGGCGCGAAAGCCAGGGGAGCGUACGGGAUUAGAUACCCCGGUAGUCCUGGCCGU
rnacentral:rRNA from 1 species